rnacentral:tRNA from 11 species
CGGCGCAAGGGUUUGAACUCCGCAAACCUGACAUGGGAAGCCAGCGUGUUACCACUACUCCACCAGCCC